GGUCACAUUCCUUCGAUCCUUCUCUAAUGAACAUGUCACAUGUCAUAUCCCAUCUUUCAUUUGGCAUGAAUGUUUCGCCCAAGUUGAUGAAUGAGGCAAAGCGAUUGAUGCCUUAUAUUGGUAGAAGUCAUGACAAGUUGAAUGGGCGGUCAUUCAUUAAUCACCGUGAUGUGGAUGCCAAUGUUACUAUUGAGCAUUAGAGAAGGAUCGAAGGAAUGUGACC
rnacentral:misc_RNA from 1 species